AGACAUGAACGAGCAACAACAGGCUAAACGAUAGCAACAACAGGCUAAACGAUACGGUAUGCUAACGUGACAUAAACACAAAUAAGGAGCUGAGAACUGGCCUGACGCAACAUAACAGUUAUU